UAUUGCACAAUGGGGGAAACCCUGAUGCAGCAACGCCGCGUGAAGGAAGAAGGCUUUCGGGUUGUAAACUUCUUUUGUCAGGGAACAGUAGAAGAGGGUACUUGACGAAUAAGCCACGGCUAACUACGUGCCAGCAGCCGCGGUAAUACGUAGGUGGCAAGCGUUGUCCGGAUUUACUGGGUGUAAAGGGCGUGCAGCCGGGCUGGUAAGUCAGAUGUGAAAUCUGGAGGCUCAACCUCCAAACUGCAUUUGAAACUGCUGGUCUUGAGUACCGGAGAGGUUAUCGGAAUUCCUUGUGUAGCGGUGAAAUGCGUAGAUAUAAGGAAGAACACCAGUGGCGAAGGCGGAUAACUGGACGGCAACUGACGGUGAGGCGCGAAAGCGUGGGGAGCAA
rnacentral:rRNA from 1 species